ensembl:lncRNA
UUAUUUGCAUCAUUUCUUUGUCUAAUCCAGUUUUUUGGAAUAAUUCAUCGAUUUGAUGGAAGUAGCGUUGCAGAUCAUGCCAGCUGGUUCGGUCAUACCGCACUUCACAAUUCUCUUUGUUAUCAGGGGCGUUGUCACCGGUUAAUACAGCAGCACAGUGCAGUGAAACCUGGUUCUUGGAGAAAUUUGUUGCUCUGAUGCGGUAUUUGCAUUGAAGAGAUGUACUGUUCCAUUUACGUCUGUAUGCAUCCGGGGAAAAGAAGUCCAUUCUAACAAUGUAGUCAAAAUCCUUGCACCAUUUUCUGAACUUUUUCCAAUCACCUUUGUUAAAAGCUACGUUCUCUGUAGUACGGCUCCAGUGGAUGUGUCCCGGGACCGAGAACUUGAAAAGCAAAACGGUUCCUUUUUCUGCAUCGAAAAAAAAAACCCGGCUGUACAUCCGUUUGACAUUACCCAAUAUUGAAUCUUUUCAUGUUCUAACAUUUUUUCUAUUCUUCCCAAAAAAGGGUGAGCUUUUUUCGGCGCGUUGGGACAAACAUCAGCCAUGUUGUAAGCUCGCACACGUUGUUCUAAGUACAGAGUAUUAUAAAACCUAGAGGGAUGCUCGACUUUUAUAAGCAGGUUCGUAUGCAUGCGUUUGUCUGUACAUGCAUGUGUGUGUUUGUGCGGGGGUGUGUGUGUGUGUGUGUGUGUGUAUGUGUGUGUGUGUGUGUGUCAUAUUUUUGUUUGGAUGUGGAAUACACAUGGCCGUACCAUGUAUGGUAACGUUUGUGUCACGAAUGGAUGUGAUCCAGAUUUAACAUAACUAUAUAUAUUUUUAUGACCUACCUCAGAGUGUUAAAAAGAACAUGUGUGCAACGUGUGUGGGGUGGAAAACACAUGGCCGUACCAUGUAUGGUAACGUUUCUAUAACGAAUGGAUGUGAUCCAGAUUUAACAUAACUAUAAAUAUUUUUAUGAUCAUGACCUUUGAUCUAGAUAUAGAGAGUUAGAAUGUGUAUCUUUUUGACCUUUGACCUAUACCUGUCAAAACUAAGGUUACAAUAUAUACAAAGUAUCUCUCUCUUCUAACAUGACACACUGUUCUCAUAUCCUCAGUAUUGUGCAAAAGUCUUGUACAUGAAAAGAAAUGCUGCAAAGCAAAG